rnacentral:rRNA from 1 species
UACGAAGGGGGCUAGCGUUGCUCGGAAUCACUGGGCGUAAAGGGUGCGUAGGCGGGUCUUUAAGUCAGGGGUGAAAUCCUGGAGCUCAACUCCAGAACUGCCUUUGAUACUGAAGAUCUUGAGUUCGGGAGAGGUGAGUGGAAUGCCGAGUGUAGAGGUGAAAUUCGUAGAUAUUCGGCGGAACACCAGUGGCGAAGGCGGCUCACUGGCCCGAUACUGACGCUGAG